ACAGAGUGAAAGGAAGAGACAGCUGACAGCUGUGUAAUUCAGUGUGAUUAGAGAUGCUGGGGAGAAGCACACAAGAAACAGUUAAAAGAGAAUGAGGACAUGCAUUGAUAAUGGUAGUUUGAUGUUUAUGUUGACUCCACAACUCAGGAAGUAAAUUGCUUUGACAUAAAGGUAACCGAUGGUACGGCUGGGGAGCGCUGAGUGCAUACGUCGCCAGCAAUGAUGUCAUCUAGCCCUGACCGGACCUGAAACAGUUAAGGCGCCUGAUAGCUCCUGAUUUAGCCGCGCAAAGCAGAGGAAACAGAGACACUGGUCAUCUCCAUGCACAGCAGCAGCCACUGAUUGGCCAAGCCACUGAUGUCAAGCAAGGGCAGUGGUGUUUUCAACGCCCCACAACCUUGAUCUAUUUAUUGAUGGAAAUGGGAAGUUCACAGAUGAAAAGAAACCUUAUAAGGAAAACAAUUUGCUGAUAUUGAAGAGAUGAAAAAGUACUAAAAGGCAUCAAAGAAGAUGAGUUUAAAUUAUGUUUUGAGCAAUGACAAAAACGUUUGGACAAAUGUAUUGAUUCAAGUGGAGGGUGACUGAAGUUUCAAAAUGUACAAAUAAAUACCCCCUCGCAUAUAAA